rnacentral:rRNA from 1 species
CCUACGGGUGGCUGCAGUGAGGAAUAUUGGUCAAUGGACGAGAGUCUGAACCAGCCAAGUAGCGUGAAGGAUGACUGCCCUAUGGGUUGUAAACUUCUUUUAUAUGGGAAUAAAACGUUCCACGUGUGGGAUUUUGUAUGUACCAUAUGAAUAAGGAUCGGCUAACUCCGUGCCAGCAGCCGCGGUAAUACGGAGGAUCCGAGCGUUAUCCGGAUUUAUUGGGUUUAAAGGGAGCGUAGGUGGAGUGUUAAGUCAGUUGUGAAAGUUUGCGGCUCAACCGUAAAAGUGCAGUUGAAACUGGCAGUCUUGAGUACAGUAGAGGUGGGCGGAAUUCGUGGUGUAGCGGUGAAAUGCUUAGAUAUCACGAAGAACUCCGAUUGCGAAGGCAGUUCACUGGACUGCAACUGACACUGAGGCUCGAAAGUGUGGGUAUCAAACAGGAUUAGAUACCCCAGUAGUC